rnacentral:lncRNA from 1 species
GAAGGUGCUUUGGAGAGCCAGUAGUUUACACAUCUUUUCCACACAUACAUAAGGCAGCUUGAAUUUCUGGUAAUUGUGAGGGCUUGACCCUUGCAACUAUUUCCAAUAUACCCCUGGUGGCUUUUGGACUUUGUCAAGAUCAUCUGAUGAUAUACACAACCUGGAUACCCCAUGGUUCUCCUACCACCAGAUGCUACUGAGGCUAAACUGACUGGACUGAGGAAAAAUAUCUGUGGGGAAAACUUUCUUUCAGAAUCCAACUUUGAACCAGAGAAAUCCAUUCUCUUGAAGCUGUCUGCUGUGGAGAAGUUGGCCUUACCAAUCUGCCUUUGAAGUUCAAGUUAUACAGGAUCUGCGAGGCUACCUGUGAAUGAAUGGUUGGUUGGUCACUACUUGCAAGUUUUUCAGGAGCUCCUGAAAGAUUACUGCAUAAAUAAGGGAAGAUGGAGACCAGACCUCUGGCUACUGUUGCUGCCACCACUACAGAUACCACCUUCACCCUUAUGAACCCCCUAUUUACUGAACAUUCUCUAUAUGCCAGGUAACAUGCCCUGCACUUGUGAAAUAAGGACUGUUAUUUCCCCUAUUUUAUAAAAGAGGAGCUGAGGCUCAGAGAGAUUAUGUUACUUGCCCAAGAUCAGAUAGCUAGUAAGUGGCAGAGAUGAGAUUCUGUCUGAGUCCAGCUUACACCAUAACUGAUAUUCUUGACAAUCGGGCUGGAUAGAAAAGGAUAAGAUAUGAGAAUUUUGGUGCUAUGAUUUGAAUUUUCCUUCCAAAGCUCAUGUUGAAACUUAAUCCCCAAAGUAACAGUACUGAUAGGUGGGGUCUUUAACAUGGAGUCCCAGAAUUGGAUCGUGAGGGCUCUGCCCUGAUAAAUGAAUUAUUCCACUCAUGAUUAAUGGAUUAAUAGAUCAUCAUGGGAGUGGAACAGUGGCUUUAUAAGAAGAGGAAGAGAGACCUGAGGUAGAACACUCAGCGCCCUUGCCAUGUGAUGCUCUGUACUGCCUUGGGACUCUGCAGAGUCUCUCUACCAGCAAGAAGGUCCUCACCAGAUGCAGUCCCUUGACCUUGGCCUUCUUAGCUUCUACAACUGUCAUAAAUAAUUUUUUCUUUAUAAAUUACCCAGUUUUGGGAGUUCUAUUAUAAGCAAUAAAAACCAGUCAAAUACAUUGA